CGGGGGGGGGGCAAGCGUUGUUCGGAAUUACUGGGGCGUAAAGGGCGCGCAGGCGGGCGGGACAGGUCUCUCGUGAAAUCCCACGGGCUCAACCGUGGAAUUGCGGGAGAUACUUCCCGUCUUGAGUUCGGGAGAGGAGUGUGGAAUUCCCAGUGUAGCGGUGAAAUGCGUAGAUAUUGGGAGGAGCACCGGUGGCGAAGGCGGCACUCUGGACCGAUACUGACGCUGAGGCGCGAAAGCUAGGGGAGCAAACGGGAUUAGAUACCCCGGUAGUCCUAGCUGUAAACGCUGAGCACUUGGUGUAGCGGGUAUCGACCCCUGCUGUGCCGAAGCUAACGCAUUAAGUGCUCCGCCUGGGGAGUACGGUCGCAAAGGCUG
rnacentral:rRNA from 1 species